rnacentral:lncRNA from 1 species
UUCAUUGAAUCAAAUUACCCACCUGUCCCUACCAUAAUGUAUUUUGUUCUUUUUAGUUACUGGAUCUAAAGGUCUUGAAACUUUCUCUCCAUCCUCCAGCUGGUAGCUACACGGAGAUACCCUUCACUCCAUCAGCUGGCCCACUGUGACAGCAAUAUCCAUGACUCAGUUUUCAUACUUUUGGGGUAUGACCUACAGACUGUCAGUUCUGGCUCUGGAGAUGAUUUGGAAGAAGAAACAUCACUUAAGAAAGAACACCUGACACUUUUUCUACGGACCUGUUGUGAUGCAUUUACUCAGGAUGAUGUCAGAACCAAGGGAGGAGCAAGAGAACACAAUUUCCAAUAUGAGCAACUCCAGGCACAUCCUCAUACUCCAUGGUAUGAUGUCCAAUUACGUUGCUGCAGGCAGCAAGAACUGAACGACAGUGAGCUCACUCUCUGCUCCCCACCCUUCUGAACCUGUAUAGCUCACGCUGUGAGACCUGCUCCUUGGAUGAAGCAACUUGAUCUUCAUGUCUUCAACCUCCUAGACUCUACCUUGCAUCCAAACACUUGGGACUUUACAAACUGGCGGAGCGUUCACCUUCUUAGCUCAUUGUUUGAUGUUAUAUUGCCUGAAAAUGAGAAACAGUAUCAAUAACAACACUGGGGUGUGUGACAAGUUCUGUUAGUCCCAUUGCUGUUAAGGCUCAAGACAAGGGAUUGCAGUGUGCUUUGAUGUGUCUUGUGUCAUACAUAGUCACAAAGACACAGGACACUGCAAUGGAACUAUCCUCUUGUUUUUUCUUCUACCAGUGUCUGAGUUCAGCCAGGUGGUCAGAUUUUUCAAGGUUAAAAUCAGAAAUAAAAGGCUGGAUUUCUCAGAAUUCUU